UGAGCAAUCUGCCCUUCUCUUUGGAAUAAGCGUUGGAAACGACGUCUAAUGCCGAAUACGACCUCCUUUCGCAUGAUCGGAGGUGGAAAGCUCCGGCGGUGAAGGAUGAGCUCGCGGCCUAUCAGCUUGUUGGUGAGGUAAUAGCUCACCAAGGCGAUGACGGGUAGCCGGCCUGGAGAGGGUGACCGGCCACACUGGGACUGAGACACGGCCCAGACUCCGUAGGGAG
rnacentral:rRNA from 1 species